rfam:Dipodomys ordii contig_24663, whole genome shotgun sequence.
GGGAAGGUGGCUCAGUGGUAGAGUGCUUGCCUUGCAUGCAUGAGGCCCUGGGUUCUAGUCCUCACCACCACA